rnacentral:rRNA from 1 species
CCUACGGGAGGCAGCAGUGGGGAAUAUUGGACAAUGGGCGAAAGCCUGAUCCAGCAAUGCCGCGUGUGUGAAGAAGGCCUGCGGGUUGUAAAGCACUUUCAGCAGGGAAGAAAAGCUUGCGGUUAAUACCCGCGAGUCUUGACGUAACCUGAAGAAGAAGCACCGGCUAACUCCGUGCCAGCAGCCGCGGUAAUACGGAGGGUGCAAGCGUUAAUCGGAAUUACUGGGCGUAAAGCGCGCGUAGGCGGUUUGAUAAGUCGGAUGUGAAAGCCCUGGGCUUAACCUGGGAAUUGCAUUCGAUACUGUCUGACUCGAGUAUGGUAGAGGGAAGUGGAAUUUCCGGUGUAGCGGUGAAAUGCGUAGAUAUCGGAAGGAACACCAGUGGCGAAGGCGACUUCCUGGGCCAAUACUGACGCUGAGGCGCGAAAGCGUGGGGAGCA